rnacentral:rRNA from 1 species
UAAUACGUAGGUGGCAAGCGUUGUCCGGAUUUAUUGGGUUUAAAGGGUGCGUAGGUGGCCCUGUAAGUCAGUGGUGAAAUAUCUCAGCUUAACUGAGAGGGUGCCAUUGAUACUGCAGGGCUUGAGUACAGAUGAGGUAGGCGGAAUUGACGGUGUAGCGGUGAAAUGCAUAGAUAUCGUCAAGAACACCGAUAGCGAAGGCAGCUUACCAAGCUGUAACUGACACUGAGGCACGAAAGUGUGGGGAUCAAACAGGAUUAGAUACCCUGGUAGUCCACACUGUAAACGUUGAUGACUCGAUGUUGGCGAUACACAGCCAGCGUCCAAGAGCAAUCGUUAAGUCAUCCACCUGGGGAGUACGCCGGCAACGGUG